AUACGUAGGGAGCGAGCGUUGUCCGGAAUGACUGGGCGUAAAGGGCGUGUAGGCGGCUGUCUAAGUCUGGAGUGAAAGUCCUGCUUUCAAGGUGAGAAUUGCUUUGGAGACUGGAUGGCUUGAGUGCGGAAGAGGUAAGUGGAAUUCCCAGUGUAGCGGUGAAAUGCGUAGAGAUUGGGAGGAACACCAGUGGCGAAGGCGACUUACUGGGCCGUAACUGACGCUGAGGCGCGAAAGCGUGGGGAGCGAACAGGAUUAGAUACCCUGGUAGUCCACGCGGUAAACGAUGAAUGCCAGGUGUUGCGGGUAUCGACCCCUGCAGUGCCGGAGUAAACACAAUAAGCAUUCCGCCUGGGGAGUACGGCCGCAAGGUUGAAACUCAAAUGAAUUGACGGGG
rnacentral:rRNA from 1 species